CAUUGACUGUUUGGUGUUUGAUGCUUUGCCCCAGAGGGGUCCCCUGUUCCAACAGGUUCCGAAAUAAUGUAAUUCACAAUCAUCCCGUUUUCACUUGAAAAUUUAUCCAUCUACAACUCGAUUUCGAACUUGCCCAUCUGCAGAAAUUAGGAAACUGAUUAUCGGAGUCGAUACGAAACCGUCACGAAAAAGAAGAAAACCUUUUGGGUGAGGCAUAACACAACUCAUAGAAUGUUAUCUCAGAUCUAAAAAUGAACUAAUCUGCAUCGACAUUGACUGAUGAUUUUCGAGAUUUUUAAAUUAGAUUUCAAGGAGUUGAUUCAGUUUUUAAUAAUUUCCUAGUGUGGCCCUUUAUUUACUCAACCUCCUCUAGCCCAUGUCUUGCCUGUAUAAAGGGUCUAGCACUCUAGAGCCAUGAGGAUUUUGCUGCCAUUCCAAUGGAUAUGCAUGCUCUACCAGCUAGCAAAUGAGUCAACGAACCUAAUAAUACUUUACUAAAAGCUGUUUUAUGCAAUGCCACGAAAGGUCAAACAAUAAAAAAAAAGUGGGGCCUGGGAGAGGUGGAAGUCCGGCGAGCCUUACCCCCAAACAAUAAUUUCAGAAUUUUACAUUUUAUAACAUCGAUCUUCUUGUUUAUUGCCACACAAUUUGUCUUCACCAGCACCAUUUUUUCCAACCCCAUAUACAGGUAAUGUCAACUUUUGCAAUUGGGUUCUCUGAAUUCUGAUCGCAUCCUUCUUCAGGGUUCUUAUAAAUCCUACACUGUUGCUUCCCAUCUCAGUGGCCAGAUCUGAAUCAUCCUUCAACAGUGAAGCAGGGAAGCUCAGUUCAAUGGAAGACUUUGCUGGGCAGACCUUGUACAGCUGCAGAAACUGUCGAAACCCCAUCGCUCUUCGCGAUGAUCUGCUGUCUAAACAUUUCAUGGUGAACAACAAAGCAGAUUGAUUUUUUUUUUUUACUCUCGUGAAUGGGAUGCAGAGAUGGAAAAAAAGAGAAUUUUUCUUAUCUAGACAUCUUCUCUGGAAUUGACUCUGUGGGUUUCUUCAGAAAACUUCAUAUUGGAGAAAAACACUGUUAUUGUGAAUUAAGCACUUGCUUUGAUUUGUAUUGAAGCAUUUCUGAGAGUACUCUAAUAGAUUAAAAUGUGUUAGUGUUGAUGUUAUGCUACGAUGUUUGUCCAACUUGUUUUUUCCAUUAUUUGGGUCCUUUGGCAAAAUCUGGGCCUGCCUGUAUGUUCACUCAUGCGAUGAACGUUGUCCUGGGGCGCAAAGAGGAGAGAGGGAUGCUGACCGGUUGGUUCACCAUUGCCGAUGUCUCUUGCCACAAUUGUGGUGAGGUGCUGCGUUGGAAGUAUGUUCGAGCUCACCAAGCCAAAGAGAACAGGUACAAAGAAGGGAAGUUCGUGCUCGAGACGAUGAAGAUUGUCAAGGAAUACUAUUAGUCUCUAAACUAAAUGGGUUGCCAUCUUCAUCUGCAUUUGCUAGUAUGUGCUAUUUUAUAUACAUGAAGUUGUCUGUUUGAAUGCUUGUUAAUAAUCAUCUCGCAUUGCUUCUCAUGGCUGCCAUAUCUUCCAUUCUUGUGAACUUCGAGUAUUGAAUAUUUUCACUUAUGAAUGGUAAAUGAUGUUCUUACCA